rnacentral:rRNA from 1 species
GAUGAACGCUGGCGGCGUGCCUAAUACAUGCAAGUCGAGCGAACAGAUAAGGAGCUUGCUCCUUUGACGUUAGCGGCGGACGGGUGAGUAACACGUGGGUAACCUACCUAUAAGACUGGGAUAACUCCGGGAAACCGGGGCUAAUGCCGGAUAAUAUUUAGAACCGCAUGGUUCUAAAGUGAAAGAUGGUUUUGCUAUCACUUAUAGAUGGAUCCGCGCCGUAUUAGCUAGUUGGUAAGGUAACGGCUUACCAAGGCAACGAUACGUAGCCGACCUGAGAGGGUGAUCGGCCACACUGGAACUGAGACACGGUCCAGACUCCUACGGGAGGCAGCAGUAGGGAAUCUUCCGCAAUGGGCGAAAGCCUGACGGAGCAACGCCGCGUGAGUGAUGAAGGUCUUCGGAUCGUAAAACUCUGUUAUUAGGGAAGAACAAAUGUGUAAGUAACUGUGCACGUCUUGACGGUACCUAAUCAGAAAGCCACGGCUAACUACGUG